UACAGAGGGUGCAAGCGUUGCUCGGAAUCAUUGGGCGUAAAGGGUAGGUAGGUGGUCUCAUUUGUCUGGGGUGAAAGCCUUGAGCUUAACUCAAGAAGUGCCCCGGAAACGGUGAGACUGGAGUCUUAGAGAGGGUCGUGGAAUUCCCGGUGUAGCGGUGAAAUGCGUAGAGAUCGGGAGGAACACCAGCGGUGUAGACGGCUUUCUGGACCAUUGCUGACGCUGAGACACGAAAGCGUGGGUAGCAAACAGG
rnacentral:rRNA from 1 species